rnacentral:rRNA from 1 species
GACGAACGCUGGCGGCGUGCCUAAUACAUGCAAGCCGAGCGGAACUGGGGGAGCUUGCUCCUUCCAGUUUAGCGGCGGACGGGUGAGUAACACGUGGGCAACCUGCCCUGCAGAUCGGGAUAACUCCGGGAAACCGGUGCUAAUACCGAAUAGUUUGGCGCCUCUCCUGAGGCGCCACGGAAAGACGGUUUCGGCUGUCACUGCAGGAUGGGCCCGCGGCGCAUUAGCUAGUUGGUGGGGUAACGGCCCACCAAGGCGACGAUGAGUAGCCGACCUGAGAGGGUGAUCGGACACGCUGGGACUGGGACACGGCCCAGACUCCUACGGGAGGCAGCAGUAGGGAAUCUUCCGCAAUGGACGCAAGUCUGACGGAGCAACGCCGCGUGAGUGACGAAGGUUUUCGGAUCGUAAAACUCUGUUGUGAGGGAAGAACACGUACCAACUAACUAUUGGUACCUUGACGGUACCUCACCAGAAAGCCACGGCUAACUACGUGCCAGCCGCCGCUGUAA